GUGCCAGCAGCCGCGGUAAUACGUAGGUGGCAAGCGUUGUCCGGAUUUACUGGGCGUAAAGAGCGCGCAGGCGGUCGUUCAAGUCGAGUGUGAAAGCCCCCGGCUCAACUGGGGAGGGUCACUCGAUACUGAUCGACUCGAAGGCAGAAGAGGGAAGCGGAAUUCCCGGUGUAGUGGUGAAAUGCGUAGAUAUCGGGAGGAACACCAGUGGCGAAGGCGGCUUUCUGGUCUGCUCUUGACGCUGAGGCGCGAAAGCUAGGGUAGCAAACGGGAUUAGAUACCCCGGUAGUCC
rnacentral:rRNA from 1 species